rnacentral:rRNA from 1 species
UACAGAGGUCUCAAGCGUUGUUCGGAUUCAUUGGGCGUAAAGGGUGCGUAGGUGGCGCCGUAAGUCAGGUGUGAAAUCUCGGAGCUUAACUCCGAAACUGCAUUCGAUACUGCCGUGCUUGAGGACUGGAGAGGAGACUGGAAUUUACGGUGUAGCGGUGAAAUGCGUAGAUAUCGUAAGGAAGACCAGUGGCGAAGGCGGGUCUCUGGACAGUUCCUGACGCUGAGGCACGAAGGCCAGGGGAGCAAACGGG